rnacentral:rRNA from 1 species
UACGCAGGGGGCUAGCGUUGUUCGGAUUCACUGGGCUUAAAGCGCACGUAGGCGGAUCGUUAAGUCGGGGGUGAAAUCCUGGAGCUCAACUCCAGAACUGCCUUCGAUACUGGCGAUCUUGAGUCCGGAAGAGGUGAGUGGAACUCCUAGUGUAGAGGUGGAAUUCGUAGAUAUUAGGAAGAACACCAGUGGCGAAGGCGGCUCACUGGUCCGGUACUGACGCUGAGGUGCGAAAGCGUGGGGAGCAAACAGG